rnacentral:rRNA from 1 species
UUCUCUUCAUUUUCUAUCACAAUAAGAUGGACUUUACCGAGGAUGAGAAUGGAUAAGUUAUUAAAUCUUGGAUGGAAAUUUCUUUUACCUAUUUCCCUGGGCAAUCUCUUAUUAACAACCUCUUCUCAACUUGUUUCACUAUAA